GAUGAACGCUGGCGGCGUGCUUAACACAUGCAAGUCGAACGGAAAGGCCACAGCUUGCUGUGGUACUCGAGUGGCGAACGGGUGAGUAACACGUGGGUGAUCUGCCCUGUACUUCGGCAUAAGCUUGGGAAACUGGGUCUAAUACCGGAUAGGAAUCACAUGUGGGUGUGUGGUUGGAAAGCUUUUGCGGUAUGGGAUGAGCUCGCGGCCUAUCAGCUUGUUGGUGGGGUAAUGGCCUACCAAGGCGUCGACGGGUAGCCGGCCUGAGAGGGUGUACGGCCACAUUGGGACUGAGAUACGGCCCAGACUCCUACGGGAGGCAGCAGUGGGGAAUAUUGCACAAUGGGCGCAAGCCUGAUGCAGCGACGCCGCGUGGGGGAUGACGGCCUUCGGGUUGUAAACUCCUUUCGUCAGGGACGAAGCGAAAGUGACGGUACCUGGAUAAGAAGCACCGGCUAACUACGUG
rnacentral:rRNA from 1 species